rnacentral:rRNA from 1 species
UACGGGUGAGGCGAGCGUUGUUCGGAAUCACUGGGCUUAAAGCGCGUGUAGGCGGCGAUGUAAGUACUUUGUGAAAGCCCUUCUCUCAAAGGAGGAAUUGCUUGGUAUACUGCAUUGCUUGAGGCAGGUAGGGGUGCUUGGAACUCUAGGUGGAGCGGUGAAAUGCGUAGAUAUCUAGAGGAACGCCGGUGGCGAAAGCGGAGCACUGGGCCUGUCCUGACGCUGAGACGCGAAAGCGUGGGUAGCAAACGGG